rnacentral:rRNA from 1 species
UACGGGGGGUGCGAGCGUUGUCCGGAAUCACUGGGCGUAAAGGGCGCGUAGGUGGCGUGAUAAGGGUGUGGUGAAAGCCCGGGGCUCAACCCCGAGUCGGCCAUGCGAACUGCUGGGCUUGAGCACUUGUAGAGGCAGGCGGAAUUCCGGGUGUAGCGGUGGAAUGCGUAGAGAUCCGGAAGAACACCGGUGGCGAAGGCGGCCUGCUGGGCAGUAGCUGACACUGAGGCGCGACAGCGUGGGGAGCAAACAGG